UAAUUUUUGUAAUUUUGUGAUUUUGUAAUUUUAAUUAUUAUUUUGAAUACAAUUAGGUAUACAUGUAAUUGAGGACACCAAAUUUGAUGUUUCUAUUGAUGUCAAUUAUCGAUUUUUAGUCUUAAAUUUCCACUCUCUGACCAUCUGUACAAAGUCAAGAUGCUUGAAGAUGAUUGGGUACUCCGUGUCUCUUUUUACAACUUGGUUGCAAUAUAUGUAAAACGCAUGUUUAUAAUUGGUUGAUUGUUUGGUAUCAACAGAAAGAAUAUUGUGAAAGGAGACAGAUCUUUAUCACAAAAUAUUUCAAUCUUUGAAGUAACAACUUUGACAGUAGUUCUUAUGACAUCACCGCUUUAGUAAAUAUUUCUGGUCACUUUCUGGUUUUUCAAAUCAGUGGCUAAAUACAUGAAGCAAAAAAAAUUACUACAAAAGUAAUGAUUUUAAUAUUGAUUCGAUAUACUUCAAUCUGAAGUAGGUUGAACAUGCAUGAAUUAGGUCCACAUUUGAUAUGUUUUGUGAAAAUAUCAAACAGUUUUUGAAGCAUAUAAAAUUUAUCAUCAUAUCAUCAUACAAUUUGUCUAUCUUCUUCGAUAAUUCAAGUCAAACCAUAAAUGAAAAAUAUUUAGCAGCGUUUUUGCUAGACACAUUUCCUCCAUUUAUGUCAGCAAAAGCAAUAAUUGAAUAUUAAAAUUAUUUUCUCUUCGAACUUGUAACAUGUACUUGCUAUGGACAGCAAGUUAAACAAAUGAAUUACAUAUCCAACAUUUUUGCAAUAAUCUUUUUUGUUAAAAUAAAAAAAUGAAAUUAUUCGUGACCAAAUCGAUGAUUGAAAUUAAAUUCAAGAACAUGAAUGUCAAUUGUUAAGUAAAUGUGCUUUUAUGCAAUUUUCAUUGUAACAUAAAAUAAAUGUAAAUAUCAAUUGC
rnacentral:sRNA from 1 species